rnacentral:rRNA from 1 species
GACGAACGCUGGCGGCGUGCUUAACACAUGCAAGUCGAACGGAAAGGCACUGCUUUUGUGGGGUGCUCGAGUGGCGAACGGGUGAGUAACACGUGAGUAACCUGCCCUUGACUUUGGGAUAACUUCAGGAAACUGGGGCUAAUACCGGAUAGGAGCUCCUGCUGCAUGGUGGGGGUUGGAAAGUUUCGGCGGUUGGGGAUGGACUCGCGGCUUAUCAGCUUGUUGGUGGGGUAGUGGCUUACCAAGGCUUUGACGGGUAGCCGGCCUGAGAGGGUGACCGGCCACAUUGGGACUGAGAGACGGCCCAGACUCCUACGGGAGGCAGCAGUGGGGAAUAUUGCACAAUGGGCGGAAGCCGGAGGCAGCAACGCCGCGUGCGGGAUGACGGCCUUCGGGUUGUAAACCGCUUUCGCCUGUGACGAAGCGUGAGUGACGGUAAUGGGUAAAGAAGCACCGGCUAACUACGUG